AUCUGAAGGCUGGGCUUUUAACAGGAAAGACAGAGAACACAAGAUCCCUGGGGAUCAGAGGAAAAAGAGAAAACAACUGACAAAGCAAGGAGGAGAGAAAAGAAAAAUUCAGAGCAGGAAGAUUCACAUUCCUGCAGGAGUGAUCAUGACACAUCCUCCCUUUCUCACUUCUCUGUCACUCCAUGAAAGAAGCCACUGCAAAUGGGACUUUGCCAAGUUCAAACCACUAGUUAAUGAAAGAAGGCCUCUGGAAUUAUAUAACCUUCAGGCUUCUCAGAACCUGGCUCUUCUCACACCAAGUGCUCCUGGAUACCUCAGCAAACAUCACUGGAAACUUCAGGAGUUAAAAAUCAUGGAACUGACCUAGAGUCUGCCCUGAGCCUCCUUGUUGACUCCCCUUCCUCUCCCCUCUAUUUCCCUUUAUGUCUUCUUUUUCAUCGUUUUUUUUUUUUUUUUUUCUUCUCAGAAGGACGGGAGGGGGAAGCCUUUCCUAACUAAUUAUUAGAAUAUUUUAUUGUUUGAAUAUGUCCCUGAGGUCUCCAUUUCCACUCCUCAGCAGCUUAUAAACAUUUCUUCCAAACAAAUUCUCCACCAUUCAUUACACAAACAUCUACUGAGAAGCUGUAGUCUGUACAACUCAAUUCUGCAUUAUAAAGAGGUCACGACCCUCAAAGUCAGACUAGGUUCAGUCCUGGCUCUGACCUUACUAGCUGGCUGACCAAGGACAAGACACUUAAACUCUUGGAGCUUCAGUGUCUUUACAUAUAAAAUGAGGCAGUUGGGCUGUGUAUUGAAUGCAAGCUCCUUAAGGGCAGGACUCUGUCUUACUCUCUGGCAUACAGCAGGAGUGCAAUUAAUGUCUGUUGACUGAUUGACUUUAAAAUAAAUAACAUCACAAACAUGUUGUACUGAUUAAAUGUAAAAUGGGACACAUACAAAAAGCCCAAAAACUACUCAAUGAAAGAACCCAGUGCCCGGCCUCAAAUAUCUCAUACUCUAGCUAAAGAGAAACUGAAUAAAGGAACCACUAAAAAGAGAUGCGAAGGCAAUAGAAAUGAAGUCUGAAUUUUACCUUCAAAUCUCUUUUAUGAGAAAAUGAUGUCUAUCUCCUAAGAAACUCUGAGAUAAUUUAGCGUAAUCACCUGAAAUAUAAAUUUGGAGGCCUAAACGUAACUGAAACUA